rnacentral:rRNA from 1 species
AAAUUGAAGAGUUUGAUCAUGGCUCAGAUUGAACGCUGGCGGCAGGCCUAACACAUGCAAGUCGAACGGUAACAGGAAGCAGCUUGCUGCUUUGCUGACGAGUGGCGGACGGGUGAGUAAUGUCUGGGAAACUGCCUGAUGGAGGGGGAUAACUACUGGAAACGGUGGCUAAUACCGCAUAACGUUGCAAGACCAAAGAGGGGGACCUUCGGGCCUCUUGCCAUCAGAUGUGCCCAGAU